AUUUUGAGUCCGAUCACUGGUGAUGCUGGUGGUCCAAAAGAGUAUAAAUGACCUCAUUCUCUAAAGAAGGUAGAAUGACCCUCCCUCUAGCCCAUCAGUCAAGGUGAUGCUAAGGUGAUGUCUGAGCGGGCAGUUGUUAGCAGUUAGCAAUCUCCUUUAAGCACAUUCAGCUGUCCAAUAAUGCUGUGUUAGCGGGAGUUUAAAAAGAUGUGUUUGUGUAUAUUUGAGGAAGCUCCACCUUCCUAGAACUAGUGGCAUCAUUCGAUUGGGGGACCUAGUUAGUAAAUUACAGUUGUCUCCCAAAAUGGUGGGGGUUAAAAAUCGAUACAGUAUUGAUGUAUGUGUGUUUAGUCUCAGUAUCAUAAUGAAUUGUGGGAAGUAGAACUGGUAUCACUGCCUCACUGACCAUCAUAUCUAAGGAAUAUUUCAGACUGUGUUGCCAUGGUAUAGAAAUGCCCUAUAUAGAAGUCUUCAAACUGUAUAUAAAUCAUUACAAUUGAUUGAGCUGUUGCUUAGGAACCACAAAACUGACCUCAGAUCAGCAGAAAGAUGCAAAUGUAAUCAACACAGCUUUUCCCCACACUUACUUAUUUCCUGCAUAAAGACAGCAGGGGGUGUGCUGGUUGGGUGGGGGGUGGAUGUUGAUGCGUUUUUAAUGGACGGACGUUUCUCUUUGUUCCAUUAAUGAAACGAGUCGAAGUUGAGAAAUGUUCACACUUUCGCCUGUUGGGAGAAAAAGCUUUGGUUUCCAGCCAGGCACAAAUCAAUCUAUGCUAUUGACUUACAAUCUCUCUCUCUCUCUCUCUCUCUCUCUCUCUGUCUCUCUCUCUCUGUCUCUCUCUCUAUUACUUUAUCGCUCUCCCUUUCUCCGAGCAUAAAGUAGAAAGAGCUUAUUCAUAGCACCAAACCUACAGUUAUAAAUGAUAACUGGCCACCCAGUGUCAAAAAUAAAGAGCAAAGAGGAUGCUUUAAUAAUCCUUAAACUAGUGAUGCACUGAUUUUUUUGGUAACCAAAAAUAUAUAUCAGAGAAUAUGUGAAGACAGAACAAUACAUACUGAAAAAUUAUUAAUUUAUUGCAACUUACCUCUACUCUUUAUUCACAAGCUGUACUAAGAUUAUUACUUGACAUUAGUUGAGGAAACUAGCUAGCUAACUUAGCCUUAGCCUUUGUUCAUUUACCAAAAUAUUGGCUGACUUUCUCUGUGUGAUUGUCACUCACAUGUGAUUGGAGAAGCCCUGCUAAGGUAAAUGUAUGACCAAAAUAUCAUUAAGCUGCAUGAGGUAAAUUUAUGAUAAGGGUACUUUUGCUAAGGUAAAAUCAUGAUUAGAGUUGCCCUGUUGAGGUAAAUGAGAAACUAGAGUAGCACCUCUGAAGUAAAUUCAUGAUUAGAAUAGCACGGCUCAGGUAACUGUGAGGCUAAAAGAGCACUGCUGAGGUAAAUUCAUGAUUAGAAUAGCACUGUUGAGGUAAAUUUAUGAUUAGAAUAGCAUCGCUAGAGUAAAUUUAUGAUUAGAAUUGCACCACUGAGGUAAAUUCAUGAGUAGAAUAGCACUGCUAAUGUAAAUUAAUUAUUACAAUAGCGCUGUUGAGGUAAAUGUUAUGAUCAAAAUAGCACUGCUGAGGUAAAUGGAUGAGUAGAAUUCCACCGCUGAGGUAAAUUUAUGAGUAGAAUAGCACUGCUAAGGUAAAUUGAUUAUUAGAUUAGCGCUGUUGAGGUAAAUUCGUGUUUAGAAUAGCACUGCAGAGCUAAAUAAAGUCAUGAUUAGAAUAUCAAUGCUGAGGUAAAUUAAUGAUUAGAAUAGCACUGCUAAGUUAAAUUGUUGAUCAGAAUAGCACUGCUGAGGUAAAUGCAUGAUUAGAAUAGCACUGCUAAGAUAACUGUGUUGUGCUCUUUUGGUUUGUAUGCUGGAAUAUAAAACAUGUGUUAAAAAAAAUAUAAUUUCUUUCUUAAGGAAGACAAAAACCUAUUUUUUUCAUACCUUUUGUUCUUUCUUAGAAAGAAUAUUCAUAUAUGUGCAUUUCUACUUAUGUAAAGAGUAUGCGUAGCCUUACGAAGUAAUCCCAGCCUGCCUGAAGCAUAUACACUCUAUGCACACACUGUAUCCCCUCUGAGGCCUGCGCUGAGAUCCAGUGAAGUGUGCAGGCCUGUAUCCUGGCCUUUAUUACAUUCACAGCCUUAUGGACGUGUUAAAUAAACAACUUAACACAUAACUUCAUUACUCUCCCCCUAAUGGUGUCCGCUACGGCAGUGUUCUGCCUGUUAAUGUAGAGCUGUUGCCUCUCUGGUUAUUAUCAAACCCCCAUCAAUGUGCAGAUUAGUUUUGCCCUAUGAAUUAGCUGAGUAAUUAAUGAAUGAAGACUAACCGAAUGAAAUUUGACUAAGAUUAAUCUGAGCUGAAACGCAGGUCGAGUCACAGAGACGAUAAAGGACUGAAUUAUGAAAAGCUGUCAUCUAGCCUGGCCGUGAAGUUGGCCCUUUCAGGGAUCUAAAGAUCUGCUCUGAACUUGGAAACCAACCUUAUUAAGUGUAAAGUCCUUGUUGGACGAGAUUUGUUUUACCUGGGAAAGUGGGGUAAUGUAAUUUAACUUUAUAAAGUCUAUAAAAUGUAGGACCGAUUCCCAUGGGAUAAGACAUUUUGGAGAAAAAGACUGAUAUGAAAGUGACUUCUCAAUUUACUCACUGGCUUUACCUCCAGAAAAGUGAUGAUAGUCUAAUAACCCUCUUAUAAUAAUAAUUAAAUUGCGUUUUGUUGCACAGGCGUGUCCUGUUACAUUGAUUAUUCAAACAACAAAUAGCUAUGAAUGUCUGCACUCAGAUAUGCAAACUGUACAUUUAUAGUGAAAGGAGUAACCCAACAUGAAAACCAGGGUGAAAAACAACUAAUAGUAAAGCUAAGAAAAGGACAGAAUAUCAGAAAAUAGAAAGUCGUCACUGGUGUACUAAGUAACAGAUGUCGCACAUGUAGAAAAAAGUAAAAGAGCAGUUGAUAAAACCCCAAAACAGUGGCUUGUGAUUGCAUGGCUUUUUUUGUGGGAUUAUCUUAUUAAUAUUCAUUGAUGAUGUCAUGUAUAAUGGCAGCAGUACAGUAGACUCUACAGAAACAUCUACAUAAAUAUUUUGUCUGACAGUUUAGAAAAAAGAUGUAACCAAACUGAUUGGAAGGUCCCAAUCAUCAUGCUGCAAUAUAAUGACCCACAACCCACUGCCUAAACUACACAGGAGUUUAUCAGGGAUAACAAAAAAAGUGUUAAAAAGGUUUUUGAUUGGCCUAGUCAGUCUCCAAAUUUAAAACCUGUGGAUUGUGCAUUUUACCUGCCAAAAAUGCAGUUAUUGUGAGGCAGGAAUUUGCAAGUAAAUAUUCCUAAGUCUUAAUUAAAACUAUUUUAAAUUUAUCUGUUAAAUACUUUUGUUUACAAAAUAAUGGGUGGCUUCAGAACAAAAAGAUGAUUAGAUUUUCUGAACUGUGUAUCAGAUCUAGAUGUAAAUACCUGGAAAUCAGAACUAAAAUGUUGAACUUUUGUCUCAUAUAUUUAUCUUUUAAUGUCAAAACCAAAUGUAUUCAGUCUAAGCUACUGUAGACCAGGGGUCGGCAAUUAAGUUUGGCCGUGGGCCAAAUAUUUUUUAAGCCAUUACG